GCGGGACACGUGGUAUCCUGUCUGAAUAUGGGGGGACCAUCCUCCAAGGCUAAAUACUCCUGACUGACCGAUAGUGAACCAGUACCGUGAGGGAAAGGCGAAAAGAACCCCGGCGAGGGGAGUGAAAAAGAACCUGAAACCGUGUACGUACAAGCAGUGGGAGCCUCUUAAUGGGGUGACUGCGUACCUUUUGUAUAAUGGGUCAGCGACUUAUAUUCUGUAGCAAGGUUAACCGAAUAGGGGAGCCGAAGGGAAACCGAGUCUUAACUGGGCGUUAAGUUGCAGGGUAUAGACCCGAAACCCGGUGAUCUAGCCAUGGGCAGGUUGAAGGUUGGGUAACACUAACUGGAGGACCGAACCGACUAAUGUUGAAAAAUUAGCGGAUGACUUGUGGCUGGGGGUGAAAGGCCAAUCAAACCGGGAGAUAGCUGGUUCUCCCCGAAAGCUAUUUAGGUAGCGCCUCGUGAAUUCAUCUCCGGGGGUAGAGCACUGUUUCGGCAAGGGGGUCAUCCCGACUUACCAACCCGAUGCAAACUGCGAAUACCGGAGAAUGUUAUCACGGGAGACACACGGCGGGUGCUAACGUCCGUCGUGAAGAGGGAAACAACCCAGACCGCCAGCUAAGGUCCCAAAGUCAUGGUUAAGUGGGAAACGAUGUGGGAAGGCCCAGACAGCCAGGAUGUUGGCUUAGAAGCAGCCAUCAUUUAAAGAAAGCGUAAUAGCUCACUGGUCGAGUCGGCCUGCGCGGAAGAUGUAACGGGGCUAAACCAUGCACCGAAGCUGCGGCAGCGACACUAUGUGUUGUUGGGUAGGGGAGCGUUCUGUAAGCCUGUGAAGGUGUACUGUGAGGUAUGCUGGAGGUAUCAGAAGUGCGAAUGCUGACAUAAGUAACGAUAAAGCGGGUGAAAAGCCCGCUCGCCGGAAGACCAAGGGUUCCUGUCCAACGUUAAUCGGGGCAGGGUGAGUCGACCCCUAAGGCGAGGCCGAAAGGCGUAGUCGAUGGGAAACAGGUUAAUAUUCCUGUACUUGGUGUUACUGCGAAGGGGGGACGGAGAAGGCUAUGUUGGCCGGGCGACGGUUGUCCCGGUUUAAGCGUGUAGGCUGGUUUUCCAGGCAAAUCCGGAAAAUCAAGGCUGAGGCGUGAUGACGAGGCACUACGGUGCUGAAGCGACAAAUGCCCUGCUUCCAGGAAAAGCCUCUAAGCAUCAGGUAACAUCAAAUCGUACCCCAAACCGACACAGGUGGUCAGGUAGAGAAUACCAAGGCGCUUGAGAGAACUCGGGUGAAGGAACUAGGCAAAAUGGUGCCGUAACUUCGGGAGAAGGCACGCUGAUAUGUAGGUGAAGCGACUUGCUCGUGGAGCUGAAAUCAGUCGAAGAUACCAGCUGGCUGCAACUGUUUAUUAAAAACACAGCACUGUGCAAACACGAAAGUGGACGUAUACGGUGUGACGCCUGCCCGGUGCCGGAAGGUUAAUUGAUGGGGUUAGCGGUAACGCGAAGCUCUUGAUCGAAGCCCCGGUAAACGGCGGCCGUAACUAUAACGGUCCUAAGGUAGCGAAAUUCCUUGUCGGGUAAGUUCCGACCUGCACGAAUGGCGUAAUGAUGGCCAGGCUGUCUCCACCCGAGACUCAGUGAAAUUGAACUCGCUGUGAAGAUGCAGUGUACCCGCGGCAAGACGGAAAGACCCCGUGAACCUUUACUAUAGCUUGACACUGAACAUUGAGCCUUGAUGUGUAGGAUAGGUGGGAGGCUUUGAAGUGUGGACGCCAGUCUGCAUGGAGCCGACCUUGAAAUACCACCCUUUAAUGUUUGAUGUUCUAACGUGGGCCCCUUACCGGGGUUGCGGACAGUGUCUGGUGGGUAGUUUGACUGGGGCGGUCUCCUCCUAAAGAGUAACGGAGGAGCACGAAGGUUGGCUAAUCCUGGUCGGACAUCAGGAGGUUAGUGCAAUGGCAUAAGCCAGCUUGACUGCGAGCGUGACGGCGCGAGCAGGUGCGAAAGCAGGUCAUAGUGAUCCGGUGGUUCUGAAUGGAAGGGCCAUCGCUCAACGGAUAAAAGGUACUCCGGGGAUAACAGGCUGAUACCGCCCAAGAGUUCAUAUCGACGGCGGUGUUUGGCACCUCGAUGUCGGCUCAUCACAUCCUGGGGCUGAAGUAGGUCCCAAGGGUAUGGCUGUUCGCCAUUUAAAGUGGUACGCGAGCUGGGUUUAGAACGUCGUGAGACAGUUCGGUCCCUAUCUGCCGUGGGCGCUGGAGAACUGAGGGGGGCUGCUCCUAGUACGAGAGGACCGGAGUGGACGCAUCACUGGUGUUCGGGUUGUCAUGCCAAUGGCACUGCCCGGUAGCUAAAUGCGGAAGAGAUAAGUGCUGAAAGCAUCUAAGCACGAAACUUGCCCCGAGAUGAGUUCUCCCUGACUCCUUGAGAGUCCUGAAGGAACGUUGAAGACGACGACGUUGAUAGGCCGGGUGUGUAAGCGCAGCGAUGCGUUGAGCUAACCGGUACUAAUGAACCGUGAGGCUUAACCUUACAACGCCGAAG
rnacentral:rRNA from 1 species